rnacentral:misc_RNA from 1 species
ACAUACCUCGAGCCGAUGACGGUUCGUCGUUGGGCGUCGCCGGCCUGAGCCGUCGCGCCCCAAAGCCAACGGGCGGUCCCCCAGGAUUCAAAUCUCUCCCCCGGAAACCGCGUGCAAAGGAUCGCGGCCGGGGAGGGGGUUCCAUAGGGGACUUCGUCUUACUCUCCGUUAUCGUUCCCACCUGAACGAUCGGACGCA